rnacentral:lncRNA from 1 species
CGCCAGUCCAUAAAAGGAAAGAAAGGAAGGGAGGCGCUAGCCCCUUCCCCCUUGCAGCCGCCUACCAGAUCUGCUCUUCCCCUCUUACAGAUGCCCAAACACCAGGUCUAGGACCUGAAAUCUCUUGAGAAAAGGUUGGUACAAGUCUCUCUCAGAUCUGGAGUUGAUCUGAGGUCGUUUGAGACGUGGGUGAGAUCUCCAUCAACAGAUCUACAAGAAAGG